rnacentral:rRNA from 1 species
AGUGUAGGCGGCCGUGUAAGUCGGAUGUGAAAGCCCUGGGCUUAACCUGGGAAUGGCAUCCGAUACUGCACGGCUCGAGUCUGACAGAGGGAUGUGGAAUUCCGGGUGUAGCGGUGAAAUGCGUAGAUAUCCGGAGGAACACCAGUGGCGAAGGCGGCAUCCUGGGUCAAGACUGACGCUGAGGCUCGAAAGCGUGGGGAGCAAACAGGAUUAGAUACCCUGGUAGUCCACGCCCUAAACUAUGUCAACUAGACGUUGGGUUCAUUAAUGAACUUAGUGUCGAAGCUAACGCGUUAAGUUGACCGCCUGGGGAGUACGGCCGCAAGGUUGAA